rnacentral:tRNA from 1 species
GCUCCAGUGGCGGAAUUGGCAGACGCAAGGGACUUAAAAUCCCUCGGUAGCAAUACCGUACCGGUUCAAGUCCGGUCUGGAGCA